UUUAUUUAGACCCGUCGACUGUUCGUACUUCAGAGGCGAACCAGAGUUAGGUGCUUGUCAGGAUCACGUGGAUUUAGCAAGCAGUUUGUGAUUUGAGCAUUUGGUCGAUCUCCGUUUCUUCAUUCUCGGAGGUUCUUUAUUUAUUUCAGAAAUAAAGUGUCGAACUAUUUUAAACUCUUAGACCGCAGUAGUAGUUUCAUAUUAUUCA